GAUCCGGUGCUUGCAUCGGGGAUUAGUGGCGAACGGGUGAGUAACACGUGAGUAACCUGCCCUUGACUCUGGGAUAAGCCUGGGAAACUGGGUCUAAUACCGGAUAUGACUCCUCAUCGCAUGGUGGGGGGUGGAAAGCUUUUGUGGUUUUGGAUGGACUCGCGGCCUAUCAGCUUGUUGGUGAGGUAAUGGCUCACCAAGGCGACGACGGGUAGCCGGCCUGAGAGGGUGACCGGCCACACUGGGACUGAGACACGGCCCAGACUCCUACGGGAGGCAGCAGUGGGGAAUAUUGCACAAUGGGCGAAAGCCUGAUGCAGCGACGCCGCGUGAGGGAUGACGGCCUUCGGGUUGUAAACCUCUUUCAGUAGGGAAGAAGCGAAAGUGACGGUACCUGCAGAAGAAGCGCCGGCUAACUACGUGCCAGCAGCCGCGGUAAUACGUAGGGCGCAAGCGUUAUCCGGAAUUAUUGGGCGUAAAGAGCUCGUAGGCGGUUUGUCGCGUCUGCCGUGAAAGUCCGGGGCUCAACUCCGGAUCUGCGGUGGGUACGGGCAGGCUAGAGUGAUGUAGGGGAGACUGGAAUUCCUGGUGUAGCGGUGAAAUGCGCAGAUAUCAGGAGGAACACCGAUGGCGAAGGCAGGUCUCUGGGCAUUAACUGACGCUGAGGAGCGAAAGCAUGGGGAGCGAACAGGAUUAGAUACCCUGGUAGUCCAUGCCGUAAACGUUGGGCACUAGGUGUGGGGGACAUUCCACGUUUUCCGCGCCGUAGCUAACGCAUUAAGUGCCCCGCCUGGGGGAGUACGGCCGCAAGGCUAAAACUCAAAGGAAUU
rnacentral:rRNA from 1 species